rnacentral:lncRNA from 1 species
AUGCAAACAUUCCCAGCCCCGUGCUUUUGUGCAGGCAUCUCGCUGUAUGCGCUGGGCACGGAGCGGCGCGCGCGCGCUCGCCUUUCCCUCGGCGGCCCCCCGCGGCUCGGACCCGGGACUGCAGACAGGCCAUCCAUCAUUCGCCCUCCUCCCGCGAGCUUGGCUGCCGCGGCCAAUCCGGCGGCAGGUGGGGCCGCACCUGCAGGACAGCCCGCCACUUCCCUCCGCUCUCUCCGCCGCGCCCGGCGUGUUAGCGAUGCCCUUGUGAGCCACUGCAUUCUCCAAGGCCAGAACGAGACAGAUAAGACUCUGGGAAUUUAUAGAAACAAACAUCAGAAGACUGAAAUGUGGAGAGAAGAAGGCUGCCUGACUAGGGAAUCUCAGGAAACAAGGAAAACAUCAAGAAUAUAG